GAACAUUCCCUACUUUGAGUUUGUACCAAUGUCUAGCUUUUGCCGUUAAAGAGAACGGAAAGAGCUUCCAUUUGAGGGUCUCAUCGGACAUUCCUUCUAUGCGAAGGAGGUCACAGACUCGAUAAAACUCUCUUAGGUGUGUGUAUGGGUUUUCCUCACCUUCUCCUGAGAAAGGUUGUUUUUGAACAAAUUCUAUGUAUUCGGGGUCUAUCUCAAAACUAGAUGCUAUGAUAGGCUUUGAAGAUUUUGGUGGUUCGAGAUGUGUGCCCGUAGGUCUAUGAAAUUCAUAGAUAGACAUGUUUGAAUUCAUGAUAGACCAUAGAUCAAGGAUUAGGUAAGAAGAAAGAUUAGCAGAGAUGAGGCAAAGGAUAAAAGGAAUAUAUAUUUUUUUUAUUUUUUAGAAAAUGAUUAAGCUAGUUCGUAGUAAACUCAGCAACCGUCUCCCCGGCAAUGGCGCCAAAAAUGCUUGUUGACACUUGCUAGCACCACUUCAAUACUAGGUUGUCAUCCCCAACAUGGCACUAGAGUGUACUAUGGUAUUUAUACGCACACAGAUAAUCCGCAAGCGCACGGAUACCGUUAUAGCUUUUACCCGGUUAAAGGUUUUAUCGUAUCCACAGGGAAACGGGAGAACUGAUCUACGCUCUAACUUAACCAAGAUAAGUAAAUAGGUGUAAAUAGGAAAGAUGGUAGAAUCAAAUAAGAACAAUAUUAAAGGUAAGAUAACAGUGAGUGAUAAUAUGGGAAUAGAGAGUAGAGCAAUUCUAGUAUAUGGGCGAUGGUAGCAGAAUAGAGAGAAUAACUAUGGUUUCUCUACUUCAAAGGGGUAUGUCUAUGUCUGGGACGAACCACGUAAUAAGAGUACACCACAAAGGAUGCUUAUCCUUAGGCCGAUAAACCCUACCCGUCCUGCUAAUGAGAGGUGGACUACAGAGGUCCAACGUAACUGUCACCUACGCGGCCUACCACACGAACCAGCUAGACAGGGGAUAUCCACAAGUAAUCUAGGUCUAAGCACCACGCUUACACCUAUACUACAACUCUUACCUAUAGCGUCCUAUAGAUUAAAGUACUCAAAAGAGUUGUGAACCAGAACAUACAUAAUUAGUAAUUGCAU
rnacentral:lncRNA from 1 species